rnacentral:rRNA from 1 species
GAAAUAGAAACGGACAGAGAACUUGUUCGAAGAAAGUGGAAGUAGACUUACAACAAUGGCUUUAGUGGCGGACUGGUGAGUAACGCGUAAGGAACCUGCCUUCUAGAGGGGAAUAACAAUGAGAAAUCAUUGCUAAUACCGCAUAUGCCGAGAGAAUCACAUGGUACAAUCGGGAAAAGAGUAAUCUGCUAGAAGAUGGCCUUGCGUCUGAUUAGAUAGUUGGUGGGGUAACGGCCUACCAAGUCGACGAUCAGUAGCCGGACUGAGAGGUUGAACGGCCACAUUGGGACUGAGAUACGGCCCAGACUCCUACGGGAGGCAGCAGUCGGGAAUAUUGCGCAAUGGAGGAAACUCUGACGCAGUGACGCCGCGUAUAGGAGGAAGGUUUUCGGAUUGUAAACUAUUGUCGUUAGGGAAGAGAAAGGACAGUACCUAAGGAGGAAGCUCCGGCUAACUACGUGCCAGCAGCCGCGGUAAUACGUAGGGAGCGAGCGUUAUCCGGAAUUAUUGGGUGUAAAGGGUGCGUAGACGGGAAGAUAAGUUAGUUGUGAAAUCCCUCGGCUUAACUGAGGAACUGCAACUAAAACUGUUUUUCUUGAGUGCAGGAGAGGUAAGUGGAAUUCCUAGUGUAGCG